GAUGAACGCUGGCGGCGUGCCUAAUACAUGCAAGUCGAGCGAACAGACGAGGAGCUUGCUCCUCUGACGUUAGCGGCGGACGGGUGAGUAACACGUGGAUAACCUACCUCUAAGACUGGGAUAACUUCGGGAAACCGGAGCUAAUACCGGAUCAUAUAUUGAACCGCAUGGUUCAAUAGUGAAAGACGGUUUUGCUGUCACUUAUAGAUGGAUCCGCGCCGCAUUAGCUAGUUGGUAAGGUAACGGCUUACCAAGGCAACGAUGCGUAGCCGACCUGAGAGGAUGAUCAGCCACACUGGAACUGAGACACGGUCCAGACUCCUACGGGAGGCAGCAGUAGGGAAUCUUCCGCAAUGGGCGAAAGCUUGACGGAGCAACGCCGCGUGAGUGAUGAGGGUCUUCGGAUUGUAAAACUCUUUUAUUAGGGAAGAACAAAUGUGUAAGAAACUAUGCACGUCUUGACGGUACCUAAUCAGAAAGCCACGGCUAACUACGUG
rnacentral:rRNA from 1 species